rnacentral:lncRNA from 1 species
CCUCACUCCCACUUUCUCUACCAAUUACCCCACCCUUACCUACAUUAUCCCCAUUAUCCCAUAAUAUAUACUCCACUCAACUCCCUCAACCAAAAACACAGAUACUACACCACUUCAUCCAUACACACGUACUACAUACUCCCUAUACGUACCACACACCCUAGAUAUAUUAGCAAACAACACACAAUCAGAAAGGGAACACGCAAAAAACAAAAGAAAACACAGAGAAAGAAAAAAGCAACCAAAUACACAACACACACAAACGCAAGAAAAAAAAGAUAACGGAAUCACGCCCCAAACCAAAAACUCCAUUUUUGUUUUAUUCUUCUUUCAAACAAUAAUCAUACAUUCACAUAUUUUCUUCUUUUUUCAUUACUACUUUAUCUAAACACAACACAUAUACCAUUGCAAACAACCUACAAAAGAUUUGUGAGGGUUUUAAUCGAGGUUCGAUCAAAAUUUUGCGGUACUUAUUUUCUUCAUUUGAGGUAUAACUUUGCCUUAAAUCUUUAAUUUAUUUAUGGAAUUUGAUGUAAUUAUAUGAAUAGUUUUCUUAUAGUUUUGUUUUAUUUAUAAUUUGCUUGAUAUGAAUAUUAGAUUAAAGAGUUAUAUCUUUGUUUACUAAAUGAGGGUAACUUUAAUUGAUGAUUAUUUUUUAUUUAUUUAUUUUUAUUCGUUAGUUGUGACCUCUUAAAAAUGAAAGAUCAUGGCAUUGUUCUUGUCUUCAUUUAUAUAAUAAUGAAAAAGUAAGGAAUUGUUAGGCUAAACAUAAGUAAAUAAAUUAUUGUUGUUUUAUUUUAUCAAACAGAAAAUGAGACUUAUUUUUAACAAUUCGGUAUUGUGUUGUUGGAUUAGAAAGUGUAUGUUUAAUUUUGACGUCAACUUUAAGAAUGGUAAAGAAUAAAAUGAUAUGAAAAUGAUCCAAAAUUUAUUCUAAAAGUUUAGUAUUUUACUUUAUUUGCUUUUCUUUAUAAGGAAUAAAUAUUUUCGUUUAACGCUAGACCGAACACUUCGGCAUGAUAAAAAUAUUUGUUUCAAUUAAGAAUGUGGUUACACAUCUUUUUUGAGAUAUUAAAAUAAACUCAAGGAUGCGAUGACGCACCUUGUCCACUAAUAUAAUUAGUAUUAAUUUAAGAUAGUGACUUACAAAAAAUAAGGUUAUUAAGUGUGAUGCAAAGAAGACAGUUAUGUCUCUAAAAUGUCAAGAUCGAGAAUGCAGUUAUGCGUUCGGUUUAAGACAAAUAAAAAUUCAACAAUUAAAAAAUAAGUGAACCAUGGCCUUAGACACAAAUUAUCCAAAACAUAUUAAAAUAAGUAUAAGUCAAUAAAAGCGACCGUGCUAGAACCAUGAGACUCGAGGGAUGCCUAAUACCUUCCCCUCGGUCAACGGAAUUCCUUACCUGAAUUUCUAGUUCGUAGAUCAAAACUAAAAGAGUCAUUUCCUAUUGAUUAGGGAUUCGAAAAGGUGACUUGGAACACCACAACACAAUUUCAAGUGGCGACUCUGAAAAAUUAAAACAAAUCAAUACCGUCACUUAAAUUGGAAAAAACUCUUCCGCCGCUGUGCACAAAAAGAGGUGUGACAAUGGGGUUCCCCCAGAGAACAGCAGAGGGUGUCAUUUCAAUUUGUUCAUGUCAUAAAGAGGCUAAAGUUGGUGGUGGAUACACUUGUCCGAGAUGCAAAGCACGCAUAUGUGAGCUGCCUACUGAGUGUUGCAUUUGCGGACUGACCCUUGUAUCUUCUCCACAUUUGGCAAGGUCAUAUCACCAUCUCUUCCCAAUAAGGCCAUUUGAUGACGUUUCACCCUCAACUCUGAAAGAUUUUCACAAGUUACCAAAGAAUUGCUUUGGUUGCCAACUGAGUUUUCUAAAUCCUGGUAAGAGCACUCUUCUUAUUUACAAAAUCAAAACUAUCUUGAGGUAAAAGAUUUAUGCCCAAAAACAAGGAAAUCUGUCUUAUUUUCUUACUCUUCAAGAUUACUCUGUAAAAUAACUACUGAAGUGAAUCUGCGAUCCAAUGAAGCACGUGGUCACACAAUAUAUUUGUAAAAACGACUUGCAUUUUAUGGUUCAGAAUUGAAACUUCCAGUGGUAAAAAAGAUUCAUGCCAAAAUGAGGAAAUAUGUCUUUUCUGUUUGCUCUCAAGAUUGCAUUGUAAGUAACCUUUAGAGUGAAUCUGGGACCCAAUGAAGCACCUGAGCUGGUCUUCUUUAUCAAAAUAAAUAAAUAAAAAUGGAACACCUGAGAUUUGCAUUUGUUUUGCAGAUAUUAUCAUUAUCCAUGUAUAUGCUAGGAUGUUCGAUAAUUUGAUAAUUUCAAGUAGAGUAGUUUAUCAGAUUAAUCCUGGGUACAUAACCCUGACCUGAAGCAUCUGCUGUUGCUAAGGAUGUCAAUGAAGUUCCUUUCUUUUUUUUUGAAAUUGGUAAAAGUUAUAUUCAUCAGCAUUCAGGGCUAUGCUGGCCACCUCCAAAAUUUACAAAAGAGUCAUGGAUAGUUACAAAGAACCUAUAAAAUCCACUAAUUGGAUUUCUUCUUCUAUAUUCUGUUCUUUACGCCAAAAGCCUAAAGUAGUAUGAAGUUCCUUUCUUUAAGUUCAUAGCUGCAGAGAAUUGUAGAAGGCAUUUACAUAAUUGUUUGUCAUCUGAGAUAUCUUGUAUCUGCAUUUGUCCGAUUUGUAAAGAACGAAAGAAAAAAAAAACACGCACUAAUCAUAACUGAGCUUUUGUUGAACUGAAGCAAAAGAAAUGUCUCUAGUGUUCUACAGAAGAAACAAGAUGUUUAGUUUCUAGAGCUUAAAUUUUUCACGUUCAAGAUAAUAAGUUCUUUUGUGUCACAAUUCUGUGCUUCUCGCUGAUUGUUUGUAAUUAUGUCCUUUGAGGACUGUUUUGAGGAAAAAUUUCAAAGCAAUGUUGAAAUUUGGUCUUUUAAGGAAGUAGCCUGUUAAACUAGUGUUUGUAUUCAGUCAGAUUGUUUUUUUUUUUUGCCAAAUUUCUUGUAACUUGUGAUGAAAUUAAGAAAUUAUUCUGUAAAAUGAGUUGUGCUUGGACCAAACAUUAAUUGGGAUCAUAAAACCUGGAAAGGAAGCAAUUUGUCUCUUCUUAAUGCAAGUCCUAAUUCAUAGACAACCCCUUAAAGUUCCCGCGACUUUUCAUUUAGACACCUUAAUUGAAACUGUUACGCAGCAAACACCUAGGGCGUGUUCGGUAUGAUGGAAAGUGUUUUCUAGGAAAAUAAGUGGAUUUCUUACUUUUUUUUAGAUGAAGUAAUUGAUUCAAUUCAUGUCAUCAAAAAGAUACGAAGUAGUUACAAAAGAGUGAGUGUGUUCGGUACGCAGGCAAAAUUUUUUAUCCUAAAAGCAUUUGUAUAUAAUUUGAACAAUACUAUGAGAGGUGAAGGUGAAGCGUAGGGUGUGUGGGGUGGUGGGGAUGGGGGCUACAUGGGUGAUGCUGAAGAUGAGGUGUGUUGGAAAGUCGGAAGGACACUAUCAAUGUGGAAUCCCACUUGUGUAACUUGUUUACAUUUUCCAAAAAAUGUGUUCGUCCAUACCGAACAAACCCCCUAAUGAGUAAUGUAUAUCUAAAAUGUGCCUAUUGAACACGUCAUGCUUAGCUAGUAAAAAAUAAAAUGUGUGAGUUUAAUGUGAGGAUGUGGCAAAUUAGCAAAUUGAACAAAACCACGUGACUUUUGAAUCCAACUAAUAAAAAAGGAAAAAGAAAACACUAGUUUUUGUAUUCAGCCUGAAUGUUUUUUUUUUCCGCCAAAUUUCUUUUGACUGUUUUUUGAUUCAGUCGAUAGUAUUCAUUGAAUUAGAGCAAAUUUCAAUAGUUCUGGAACAAGCUUCCACCACAUCCCAACUUACAAAAAAAGAACAGGUACUACUACUAUAGCAGAAAUAUAUACUCUACAGGAACCAUAGAAUAAUGAUGAUGGAGAUGUAUUGCGGCCUUCUCCUGUUCAUCAACUCAAACCUCAUACUAAUUACACCAUAAUUUAACCACCACACCAAGCAGAAUCCCAUGUCCUUUACCAACAUUAACAUAACUGCUCUUCUUUUCUUGACAGCAAGACUUUUGCAGACUCAUCAAAACUCAGAACCAAAUCUCCCCUCUACCCCCAAAACCACAAAAGUCCUGUCCUGUCUCUUGAGAGCAUCCCCACAACAUCCAUAGCAGUCACCCUCUUCCUACGAGCAUGCUCAGUAUAAGUAACAACAUCACAAAUCACAUUCUCCAAGAAGAUCUGAGCACCCCCCGAGUCUCCUCAUAGAUUAGCCCACUGAUACACUUCACUGCCCCUCUACAUGCCAAAUGCCUAAUGGCUGGCUUUGUGAUUCAAUGAAUGUUAUCACAGAGGACCUUACGGUGAAGCUUUGCUCCUCCCUUUCCCAAACCUUUUCCUCCCCUUCCACGACCCGACAUGUUCAGUCAACCUUUAGUUUCUCUGAAAUUGGAAGCUUCUGAAUUUCUAAGAGUGUUAGGGAGACAAUGAUGAAGACAAAUUUCUUGUAACUUGUGUGAUGAAUUAGGAAAUUAUUCUGUAAAAUGAGUUGUGCUUGGACAAAACAUGCUUGGGAUCAUAAAACCUGGAAAGGAAGUAAUUUAUCUCUUCUUAAUGCAAGUCCAAAUACAUAGGCAACCUCUUACAGUUGCCGCAGCCUUUUAUUUACACACCUUAAUUGAAGCUGUUACCCAUCAAACACCUAAUGUAUGUCUAAAAUGUGCCUAUUGAACACGUCAUGCCUAGUUAGUAAAAAUAAAAUGCAUGAGUUCACAUGCGAUGAUGUGGUAAAAUGGCAAAUCGAACAAAGCCAUGUAGAUUUUGAAUCCAACUAAUUGAAAAAGGAAAAAGAAAACACUAUCUUUAGAAAAAAAAAACCUCCCACCUUGUCAUCUUCCCCAACCUCAUCCUUCCUUCCCUUGUCUGGUUUCUCUCCGGUUCAUUCCUCCAUUUUCUUCCUUACCCCAUGAAAAUCUCUCCAUAAAUUUGCUCUCGAAAUACCUCAAAAAAUAAGAAAAAAUAGAAAUAUGUCACUCUAUUCUAAACAACACUAAUCAUGCCUAUAAAUACUCAAGUCAUCCCUACCUUACUCAGCUGCCCAACAGUACAACUAAACCUCAAUCCCAAGCAAGUUGGGGUCGGCUAUAGGAAUCCUCACUAACCAUAUUACUUCAGUUAAACCAUCUGAGGCCAACAUUAUAUAAAGUAAUAGUAAUAAAAUCAAGCAACAUAAAAAGUACUAGAAGUUCUUUAUAUUUUGCUACGAUAAACAACUCCGAUUAAAGUAUAGGACAUAAAGUAAAAGUGUUAGCAUGACUAAAACAUAUUCUUAAUUAAUAGGUAUCUCCUACAUAGAUCUUUUUCUUCCAUUGUGCCCUAUCUUUCACUAAGCCUUGCAUGAACCUCACUAGAUUGUAAAUCUUUCAAUACAACUUCCUUCCAAGUGAUUUAGGUACCUCUUCCCUUUUUAUUACUUUCUCUCACCACAUAUCUACAAACCGGUGGAUUUGAAGUUCGAUGCAAGACAUAAACAUGCCAUCUCAAGUGACCUCUUAUUUUUUCCUCGAUGUGUGCUACUUGAACCUUCUUGUGAAUGCGAUUGUUUCUAAUCUUGUCUAGUCUUGUGUGACUGCCCAUCCAUCUUAGCGCCUUCAUUUCCAUGCCACUCAUCUUGAUGUUUAACUUUAGAGACCCAACAAUAGAGUUAUCUUUUCUCAGGCAAAGUUAUAUAAACCACGUUUCAAGGCUACAAAAUCACCGACUGUCGAUGGAUGCUUUGUUAGACUGAACAAAUGAGGUUCAUCAUCUUCUUUUUCUUCUACUUGUUCAUGGGUUGCCAUCCCCUUAGUUUCGGUAAAUUUAGGUGUUGAUACAAUAGUGGGUGUCAGGGGUUUUGCUUGAAAUUGGAAGGCCGUCAAUCUGUGGGGUUGGAAUGGUGUAGUGAAUCACCAUUCACUAUACUGGGUAUGUUGUUGUUGAAUGGUGUAGUGAAUCACCAUUCACUACACGGGGUAUGUUGUUGUUGUUGAAUGGUGUAGUGAAUUUGCACUGGGUAUGUUUUUGUUGUUGUUGAAUGGUGUAGUGAAUGGAUGAUGUGCUGUAGUAGUAAAAGCUGGGCGUUCUAUUUAUUAAUGGUGUUGUAUCCAUUGAUGAGUCUUGGUUUCUAAUGGUAUUUCUCUUAUUGGAACUGAAGGAUGCUAGUUGGUAUUUUUCGCUGGUGGGAUUCUAUUUAGGAGGGAGAGAUGAAGGCUGCGGUGGUUUCUGGUGAUUGGUAGUAUGUCCAAACUGAUGUGGGGAGGUGGUGGCAGCAGCAGAGAGGAGCUGGAGGAGAAAGAAGAAAGAAAUAAAACAAAAAUAUUACAUUACAAUUCAUGAGCUCAAAACUGUGAAAGCCACUCAUUCUGCCA